GAUGAAGAACGUAGCGAAAUGCGAUAAGUAAUGUGAAUUGCAGAAUUCAGUGAAUCAUCGAAUCUUUGAACGCACAUUGCGCCCAUUAGUAUUCUAGUGGGCAUGUCUGUUCGAGCGUCAUUUCAACCCUUAAGCCUAGCUUAGUAUUGGGAAUCGACUUUACUGUCGUUCCUCAAAUUCAACGGCGGAUUUAUAGCAAUCUCUGAACGUAGUAAUUUUUUUCCUCGUUUUUGAAAUACUAUAAACCUCAGCCGCUAAACCCCCAAUUUUUCUAUGGUUGACCUCGGAUCAGGUAGGAAUACCCGCUGAACUUAAGCAUAUCAAUAAGCGGAGGA
rnacentral:misc_RNA from 1 species